rnacentral:lncRNA from 1 species
GGUUUUCUUUUCUUUUCUUUUUUUUUUAAUACUCUCUUGCAUCUGAAAUAUUCUGACUUCAGGGUUUCUUUUUUUUUCUUUCUUCUUCUACUAGAAAUGAAGAUGGUAUAUGGAAAGGCGAUUCUUAUACUCAGAAGGAAAAGUUCCCAUGGAAGCCAUGGAUUCAUUCAUGACAAAGUGAGAGGCUGCAUGUUUUUAAGCCCAGCAGUCUUAGUUAUGGAGAUUAUAGACUUGAAUUCUAGCCCUUUUGUCACCAAGACCUUUUAACAUCUGUGUUGCAGUGGGACCAAUCUAAUACUUGCACCUCCUACCUUACUGUGACGAGAAAAUAAAAUGUUGUCGAAAGCCUUUUGCAGAUUUCAGAGUGUUCCUCAAAUGUAAGAUGGUAUUUCAGUAAUGAUAAUGCCAAAGAUAAUGAAAAUUGCUUGUGGGAAUUGCUACUUCUCUCAUGCUUCCUAAGUUUUGCAUAGAUGAGAAGAAUACGUGCAAUGAAUAGAAUAAUAAAUGUCAUUUAUAUAACUAUGUGAAGGAAUGAAUUGAACAGAACUGUAAAUUACCUUUUCAUAGUAUUUCUAUUGAAU